AACCUCAUGCACCGGAAGGCGUUGGGGAACAUAUAUCGAGUAAACAUGUUCCCAACACUAGCGUGUCUGAAGGGGGAAACUAUCAACGUGUAAGAGCUGGUUCGCAUCCUUAUGAGUCAUGGUACACAAGCCAUGAAUCCUCCUUUACAACAAAUUGGUGUAUUCUUCGAACACAUGGUCGAAUCGAUGCAUGACCCCAAUGGGAUUAACAUUGAGAAAUGAGGAAAAUGGGUGUUGUAGUGUUUGAAGGAAUGGUUGAUCCUACUGAUGUUUAACAAUGGUUAGAUCGCAUGGAGAGGGUGUUUGAGAAGUUAGAGCGUUCUAAUGUUGCGAAAUUUAAGUAUGUGCUUUGAUUAUUACAAAAUUAUGCUUAUGAUUGGUGGGUAACUGUUCAUAAUGCCAAGCUAAAACCUUCUGUUCUUAAGUGGGAUGAUUUUCUUAAAUUUUUUUGCAUAAAGUAUGUACCACCGGCUUAUUGUGAUGCAAAGAAAAAAGAGUUUUUUAAUCUAAGGCAAAGAGGCAUGUCUAUUGCUGAAUAUGAACAAAUGUUUCUAAGGCUCUGUUGUUAUGUUGUGUGUAUUAUUAAAGAGGAAAAAGAUAAGUGCAGGAAAUUUGAAGAUGGUUUAAAUGAUUCCAUUACGAAGAAUGUGACGAUCCUUCAACAUGAUAGCUUUUUAAAGUUAGUUUCUGCUGCUUUUACUCGGGAACGACUUGAUAAAAAAGAAGUUAAUAGAAAUGAAAACAAAUUUCGAAAGCCUAGACCAGAUUUUUGAGGUCCAUCAAAAAAGGGGCAGGUUUGAUAAUUCUAAGGCUAGUAGUAAUAAUGGUCCAGCUCAACAGAAGCAAAACAUAUUAGAUUUUUCUUCAGCUACCACUCCAAAAUAUGGCCAAGGCAAGCCUCACAUUCCCACUUGUACGCAAUGUGGUGUUUUAUUUUUAAAAAUUUCUACUAACUAUUUUUUGGUUUAAAAAUGAAAAAAUUUACUAGUUUUCGAAAAAUCAAUUAAUCGUAUUGUUUAAGAAAAAUCGACUUUUCAAAAUUAUGGAGUCGCCACUUGAUUUUUGAUAAAAUCAAGAAAAAAUUUAAAAUUGUCAAAAGAUUCAAAACUGAUAAAAUCAAUUGAAAAAGGUUCGAAGUUCAAUGUACAUCCUGAGAAGGUUUUAGGCCCUUGGGAUGCCCGCUAACUCGCGGUUGACCAGCGAUUUGACUAAAUGACUAUUAAAAUAAAAAUUUUAACUAAGUAAAAAAGAAAUUUGUUUUAAUAUUUUUUAUUUCAUUAUUAUUAUUUUUAUUUAUUUGUAAAGGUUGAGGGAAAUAAUUCAAGGAAAACUAAAUUGUGAUAAAAGUAAGUAAAACAACAAUAGGAAAAUUUAAAUAAUGAAAAAUGGCUACCCCUUAGAAGAUUAUUAAAAUUCUACCAAGAUAUUAAAUAAUUCAAACAAAUAAAUAAUAGAUAAAGAAAUAUUUGAACUUGGGCUUGAUUGCCCAAAUUCUUUCAUUUGGGCUUUGGCCCACCUGUCAUAAACUAAUCCUUAUACUUGGGCCUUCUUUAAAACCUACAGAAACAAAUGACCUUUGGGCCUGUUAAAUAAAAGGGGGGCUGAAGGGCCCUGGCCCAAUUCCCUGAAAAGAGACAUAAAGUAUACAAAUGUAUACAUGCUGUAUACAGCAUAUAUCUGACCCAUUUGGACCUCUUGAGCCCUGCACCUUUUGAAUAUAUAUUUACCGUUACUUUUCCCUGUAUUACCCCGCGUAUUUAUACCUGUAUCAUUUUUUAAAAACUUACUUAACAAGUGUAUAUCGUCGCCCGAUAAUGUAUACUAAUGUAUACGGGCUGCACCCUAUGUCUGCAUUGUUUGCCUAAUUCCGAAUUUUAAUUAGAAUAGACGUCCCUCUACGUUCCCCUACCAAUCAUAUUUUUUAAGCAUAUAUAUAGUAUAUCGUCUCAGUAUAUCUUUGUAUACAGGUUGUAUAUCAACCUGUUUUUCAACUUUCGACAGCUGAAAAAUUAUUUCCAGAAGUAUGUCCUCACUGUUAUCAACCUGUAUUUCGAAUUUUGUCCCCUGUACGUUUUUUUGACCUUUAUACUGAUGUAUAAAGUAUGUAUACAGCUGCUAUACAGCUACAUCAACACCUGCCAAUACAUUUUACAGCCCUUUUCUAGGUUUUGAUGAACCUGCAGUUAAUUUCCAGCAACUCGUUUGAUAUAUUUUAGCCUGUACGCCAGUUUUGAGGGGGUCUACGACUCAAGGAUGACAGUUCAAGCCUUUACGGCUCAAUGAGAAAGUGCAACGAGAUGGGUUAAAGUCCAUGAGGACUCGAGGAGAUUUCACAUGCAAUAAAACCAAAAAAAAAUUAGCACCUUAAGCGAUAAGCUAAUAGAAUUCGUCUUAAACAAAACGGUAAUAGAAGAUGUGAGCUAUUUUAGAGAUAAUGAGUUAGGAAAGGGGUACAAAAUCUCAACACACAUCUCAUAUGCAGGCAACACAGGGGACUCCUCAUGCAUGCAGCACUAUUCAAAUGUUCAAAAGAAUAAAAUGAAAGUCAUCAUAUGUCAAGGUUCAUUAGUGAUAAACUUGAGGCUAUGUGAAUCAUUUCAAACCCAAUGACAACAACACGACAAUGAGCAAUAAAUAUACUGUAGACCAAACACUGAGGAGAAUUGAUCCCUUUAUAUCAUUCAAGCCAUUUAAUGCACAUAAAGGGAAUAUAUGCAGAAGCCAUUGAUAACAAAAAUCACGUCAAAGAAAAGGCCUACCCGUAAGACAAAGUCUAGAAUCCUCCUCCAAAAUGGUCAUAAUUCGAACACAUAAAUGUUUCUAACCCCUUAGGACAACUAAGAAUACGAUAAAGAAAAAGUCACCGACAUAUACUCGAAUAAAACUCGAUUAGAAACCUAGCUAUAACGUACUCAAGACAAGCGAAUACGGAGGUUGUCUGACAAACAAGACGAGAACUCGUCCGAGCUUACACAUUCACAACCAAAUAUGACCGAAGGAUCUAGUGUAUAUAUCAAUCUAAGCAACACAUUAUACUACCUACAAGUUCAUCCAAGCCUGAAUGAACAACUCGAGCGAGAGGGACAACAUGAACAAGCUUAAGACGAGGUAAGCGAAACAAGAGAAGACUAUACUUCAAACAUACACCUACAUUUCAGUUUCAUAACUGGCAGCAGCAACAGAACUUUAAAACGCCACCAGAAGCCAUUUUAAAACAAAAAAAAAUGAUAAAGUCGUGUCAAGCGGUAGGGGUUACCUGUUUUAGAGCAGCCAACUGGAACAACAAAUAACGCUGAGGUCUUCCACCACAACACUCAAACUCAAAAGGCGAUAUAGAGCUCCUUGUAGGUAGCGAUAGGACAGGGACGAACGUCUCAAUGGUUUCAAGAAACUAUCUCAAAACACUUAUAUACAGUGAUAUGGCUUGAAGCUUGUGGCCAUAUUCCUCUGUAACCUUUUCUCUUUACUCCCUUUUUAUCUAUAUUUUCUUUCUUUCCCUGUUUAUUUUCCUUUUUUUCUAUUUUUCCUCCUUUCUUCUUUCUCUCUCUUUUCUUCUUUCUCUCCACCAACCCCCUAACAAUAAAGAAGAUGGGGAUUAUUU
rnacentral:lncRNA from 1 species